rnacentral:ncRNA from 18 species
UAUAUAUUUUGGUUAGGUAGCCACCUCGCUGUGAAGCGAGGUGGUUGCUUUUUA